AUGGCAGGUAGAACACAACUGGCACUUAAUAGAACAGAAGAGAAGAAAGGAGGGGGAAAAGAAAGAUGGAACCAAAGACUGAAGCAAUGCUCAUUCCUAAUUGCUGGCAUCUCAUGGCGCACCAUCGAAAACCAGGACACGCUGAGUAGAAAGUAUAUACUGAAGGAGCCAAGACUGAAAAGGAUAAAACACCCAAGAAACACCGUAAGCAGUCGCCAACACAUUUCCAAUGGUUUAAAAGUGAUAGCCUGAAAAAAAAUAAAAAAAUAAAAAAAAAUAAAAGUGAUAGCCUG
rnacentral:lncRNA from 12 species